AGAGGUCACGCCUGCCCAGUGACUUUAAUGUUUAACGGCCGCGGUAUUUUGACCGUGCAAAGGUAGCGCAAUCACUUGUCUUUUAAAUGGAGACCUGUAUGAAUGGCAUCACGAGGGCUUAACUGUCUCCUCUCUUCAACCAAUGAAAUUGAUCUCCCCGUGCAGAAGCGGGGAUAAAAACAUAAGACGAGAAGACCCUAUGGAGCUUUAGACACCAAGACAGCUUAUGUUAAGCAUUCCUCAACAAAGGGCCAAACUAGAUAAACCCUGUCCUAAUGUCUUUGGUUGGGGCGACCUUGGGGAAAUAAACAACCCCCACGUGGAAUGGAAACAUGUUUCCAAAACCAAGAGCCACCGCUCUAAGAAGCAGAACUUCUGACCAGUCAGAUCCGGCAAAGCCGAUCAACGGACCGAGUUACCCUAGGGAUAACAGCGCAAUCUCCUUUUAGAGUCCCUAUCGACAAGGGGGUUUACGACCUCGAUGUUGGAUCAGGACAUCCUAAUGGUGCAGCCGCUAUUAAGGGUUCGUUUGU
rnacentral:rRNA from 1 species